GAUGAAGAACGUAGCGAAAUGCGAUAAGUAGUGUGAAUUGCAGAAUUCAGUGAAUCAUCGAAUCUUUGAACGCACAUUGCGCCUCUUGGUAUUCCAUGGGGCAUGCCUGUUCGAGCGUCAUUUGUACCUUCAAGCUUUGCUUGGUGUUGGGUGUUUGUCCUGAGGGACUCGCCUUAAAGUAAUUGGCAGCCAGUGUUUGGUUUUGAAGCGCAGCACAAGUCGCGAUUCAAGGCUAUACACCAGCUUCCACAAGCCUUUUUCACUUUUGACCUCGGAUCAGGUAGGGAUACCCGCUGAACUUAAGCAUAUCAAUAAGCGGAGGA
rnacentral:misc_RNA from 1 species